rnacentral:rRNA from 1 species
GUGCACCAGUCGCGAAUCCUUCGCAAUGCGGGAAACCGCGACGAGGGGACUCCCAGUGCCUACGCUCAGCGUAGGCUGUUCCCGAGCCUAGAAAGCUCGGGGAGUAAGGGCUGGGUAAGACGGGUGCCAGCCGCCGCGGUAAUACCCGCAGCCCGAGUGGUGGCCACUAUUAUUGGGCCUAAAGCGUCCGUAGCCGGCCCGGUAAAUGCCUGGGUAAAUCGUGAGGCCUAACCUCACGAAUUCCGGGUAGACUGCCGGGCUAGGGACCGGAGGAGGGAGAGGGUACUCCAGGGGUAGGGGUGAAAUCCUGUAAUCCCUGGAGGACCACCGGUGGCGAAGGCGCUCUCCUAGGACGGGUCCGACGGUGAGGGACGAAAGCCAGGGGAGCGAACCGGAUUAGAUACCCGUGUAGU